rnacentral:rRNA from 1 species
UCUAGUAGAACAUUGUAACCCGUUAGAUAUUAAUUUACGGCCUUAUUGGGUAGCCUUUGAUCGUUAAAACAUUAAAGACCAAUUUGUGUUUCCUAAUUAAUUGUCUGACGGUAUUCAUAUGAUAUUAAGUCGCAUAUAUUAUUUGCGUUUUCAUCCGUCGCAAGCGAGGCUAUUUAAUUAAUUGUUACGGACCUAGUGCCGUCUAUUAAUAAUAGCCAGCUGUUGGCUGUUACGGUAUUCUGAAACUGACUUUAUAUAUCGGUUAACAAUGCUACUGCUUUGGGUACUUUCAGGACCCGUCUUGAAACACGGACCAAGGAGUCUAACAUGUGCGCAAGUCAUUGGGAUUUUUUUAAAUUUUAAAAUUAAACCUAAAGGCGUAAUGAAAGUAAAGAUCGUCUUUAUGUCGAUUAAGGGAAGAUGAUUUAUAUUACGAUAUUUAUCCGCAUUCCCGGGGCGUCUCAUUUUUAUUUUAUA